GGGGAUAUGGCGAAAUCGGUAGACGCUACGGACUUCGACUUUAUAAGUCGUGAGGGUUCAAGUCCCUCUAUCCCCA
rnacentral:tRNA from 60 species